UGAGCAAUCUGCCCUUCACAUCGGAAUAACCAUUGGAAACGAUGGCUAAUACCGAAUACGACUUCGGACUGCAUGGUCUGAAGUGGAAAGCUCCGGCGGUGAAGGAUGAGCUCGCGGCCUAUCAGCUUGUUGGUGAGGUAAUAGCUCACCAAGGCGAUGACGGGUAGCCGGCUGAGAGGGUGACCGGCCACACGUGGGACUGAGACACGGCCCAGAUCCCGUAACGGGG
rnacentral:rRNA from 1 species